rnacentral:rRNA from 1 species
GUCCACGCCCUAAACUAUGUCAACUGGUUGUUGGGGUUUGACACUCUCAGUAACGAAGCUAACGCGUGAAGUUGACCGCCUGGGGAGUACGGCCGCAAGGUUAAAACUCAAAGGAAUUGACGGGGACCCGCACAAGCGGUGGAUUAUGUGGAUUAAUUCGAUGCAACGCGAAAAACCUUACCUACCCUUGACAUGUCCUGAAGCCUGGAGAGAUCCGGGUGUGCCCCGAAAGGGAACGGGAACACAGGUGCUGCAUGGCUGUCGU